CAAAGCCUGCGGAUUAUCAUCAACAGAAUAUGAAGGGUAAUGGGUGAACAGGGCCAUGGAUAGGCCCAUGUGCUUGUAGGCUGGACUUGGGCUUGAGGUGAAUCACUGCUGGCAGCCUGCUGUAAUACACCUACAGCCAACACCAUAAAUGAACAAAAUACCCAAUACUAGAAUUGGAGUAAAAGUGGUCUGAUGAAGUAGACUCUGCCCUACGAAAAAUCUGUCAUACCGUUUCUGUGAACGCUCCCAUGCCUAUGCCUGCCGUGCCGAGGAAGCCGCGAUCUGCACUGUAAACACUACAUAAAGUUCAUGCAAUAAAGAUGAUC